rnacentral:rRNA from 1 species
CUUAACGGUAAAAGCGCCUUCGAUACGGGCAGUCUUGAGUCCAGAAGAGGCCGGUGGAAUUCGUGGUGUAGCGGUGAAAUGCAUAGAUAUCACGAAGAACACCAGUGGCGCAGGCGGCCGGCUGGUCUGGAACUGACGCUGAGGCACGAGAGCGUGGGGAGCGAACAGGAUUAGAUACCCUGGUAGUCCACGCUGUAAACGAUGUGUGCUAGGUGUUGGCCCUUCGGGGUCGGUGCCGCAGCUAACGCAGUAAGCACACCACCUGGGGAGUACGUCCGCAAGGAUGAAACUCAAAGGAAUUGACGGGGGCCCGCACAAGCGGUGGAGCAUGUGGCUUAAUUCGAUGCAACGCGAAGAACCUUACCCAGGCUAAAUCUCGGGCGACCGGCCCGGAAACGGGCCUUCCCUUCGGGGCGGCCG